ensembl:lincRNA 1700096K18Rik RIKEN cDNA 1700096K18 gene
GGGCUGCCGAAGGUCUCCUAGCCUUCGGGCCAGUGCCCGCCGAUCCUCCGGGAGCCAGGUCCGCGAUCUCCGGCGCCCGCCGUGGGCUCGGGAAAGCGCACAGCGCACUACUUGUCGCGGAGGGAUCCGGCCCCUGAGUUACCUGUUCUCCACUCGGAGCUGACCUCGGUCCAAGGGCCCGCAAGUCCGCCUCACCGAGAAGUAAUACAGGUUCGGAUCCGCGCCGCCGACCUCACAAUGGCGCGGGCGUCCAGCCACUGUCACGCAGCAUCCCGUGCGAUUAUUCGCCCAGAGCCUCACUGCUUAGGGGACCGCGGCGGGGCCCUUCUCCCUCUCGCUCAUUCAGAAGAUGAGAACGUCCCCGCACGACACAACGACGCUGUUUUAACAAUACCCAACUAACUCUGCUCUUCCAAACUGCACACACUUAAAGGUGACAUGGCCACAGACGCUGGGUUGCAAUACUACGCUGGAAUUCUGCACUAAUUAUUUAAAAGCUUUCUUACAGUACUACAGCGAAACGACCGGUUACAAACCUUUCAUUUUCGUUCGAACACCGUACUCUAACCAAUGGAUAUUUUGUGAAUACUUCUAUUCAGUAUCUCUAGAUUUUUUAAAAAAAAAACCCAAAUGUAAAGAAAGACAUUACCAAAUGAGUGGUUCAUCAGUGAAAUAAUUUGUUUUGCCUUUACAUUUUAGCCUUUUUGGAAGGCACAUUAUUUGCAGUAUACACAGAUAUAAAUUUUGUACAUUUAAAAUAGCCUGUAUAGCCUUUUUGUCGUUCUUUCUUGAAGCCCCUCCCACUCUGAAGAUUCUUUCGCUUCUAUUAAUUUUAAGUCUGGUUAAAAAAAUAGUGCUUGAGGCCAGCCUGGUCUACAGAGUGAGUUCCAGGACAGCCAUGGUUAAAAGAGAAACCCUGUCUCAAAAAAACCAAAACAAACAAAAAAAAUAGUGCUUAAAUUAAACAUAAAAACAAUUAGCAUUUACAUUUGAAUAAUGCUUCUUCAUGUUUAUUACCAUGUACAUUACUAGGAACUGGAAGUCCAACCUUGUAAAAAAUUAAAAUUCAAGACAGGCCUUUAUAGUGAGGUUAUUGUCUUUUCAUUAUAACUCAUUUUUUACAGCCAGCUAAUUUUCCAGAGGGAAUUACUGUUCCUAUCUUUAGUCAAUUUGGUUAAGAAUUCUUUGCCUUUAAAUAUAUAAAAAUGUUUGUGUAUGAUUUUAUUUUUCUGUGAGAGCAUUAAGGUUAGAGGACAACUUGUGGGCAUGCUAUUCUUUUACCUAGGAAUGGAACGCAUUUCCACCCUGUGACAGGGUCUCAUGUAUCCUUAGAUAGCCUGGAACUCACCUGUAUAGAUCACAUUGACUGAAAUUUCGGAGAUUCCUCUGCCCCUCUAUUCCUGGGAUUAAAGGUGUACAACACUGCCACCAGCAUUAAAAAUUGUCUUUAUA